rnacentral:lncRNA from 1 species
CUAAUGUCAAACCGUUCUCUCUCAGUGCUGGAAAUACAAUACAGGGCCUCAUGAAUGUUCUGCCACUAGUUAUCUCUCAGGAGAAAUCAGUGUUUUUAAUCACUGACUUGAUACUCUCCAACCUCUCCUGGAGUGUCAAGUCCAACAUGUCCAAAGCUCCCAUCUCCCCAUCCCUGAACACACCUCACUGGUGCACUAUUGCUUUCAGAAAAGUGCAUCAUCUGAAGUCCAAGCAUCCUAAAUAGAAGUCUUAGAGGGACAGUCAUUUCUAUCAUAACCAAUACACUUGCUCCUAAAAAUGAGUGUGUUGUGCAGAAUUGAUCAAUAAAAACUACAGAGCUGGAGGAAAGAAGAUGGCUGCCUAGGGAGCAACUGCAAGGUUGAGUCUCAAAAUUGGCAAUGGAGAAAAGCAGGUACCCUAGGGUGGGAGUGAAAGAUAAACACUGACACAGGAGGGCAGUGAGAAGAGCAUCUAGUGGACCAAAGUCCAGUUCUGGGGGUAUGUGAUGGAAAAGAAAAGAAAAGAGAGAGAAGGAGAGAGAGAGAGAGAGAUUCAUGAAGAGCAAACCGGCACUCCAGAAAAAAAAAGUACUCAAGAAUAUUCAAACAAAGCCAAAAAGUCUGAUGGAAUGAAUACAUCAAGCAAGAGCUAACCAUGCCCUGAGACAUGAAGAUGAAGAUCAGAGCAAAUAGAUUUGGCUACAGUUGGGCACCUAAUUAGUCACCAGGGCUGCUUGUAUCUCCAGCAGCAUAGAUAUUGUCAGCAUCAAUGACCCCUUCAUUGGCCUCAACAACAUGAAUUAUGUGU